GUUCUAUAGGAAUUUCCAGAGGCGGGAAUUCAGGGGUGUGGUGGGCCUCUAAGGUCCCAGCAUUCCCUUCGGGCCGCCUCCAAGAUGGCGGCGCCCAUGUUGCGGUACAUUUUCCGGAGCCAGGGGCUUGGUACCCAAGGCCUGUCAGGAGUCUUGUCCUUGGGGCUGCGUGAGGCCCACUCGGCCGCUCAGGGGUUUCUGGCGGUGCAGAAGGCUCGGGGUCUGUUCAAGGAAUUCUUCCCCGAGAGGGGUACAAAGACAGAGCUCCCAGAGCUCUUCGACCGCGGCACCGGGGGGAAAUUUCCCCAGACCAUCUACUGCGGCUUCGACCCCACGGCCGACUCGCUUCAUGUCGGGCAUCUGCUGGCGCUUUUGGGCCUUUUUCAUUUCCAGCGAGCGGGCCACAACGUGAUCGCGCUGGUGGGAGGCGCCACGGCGCGCCUGGGAGACCCAAGCGGUCGUACCAAGGAGCGCGAGGCGCUGGAUGCGGAGCGUGUGCAAAGCAACGCGCGUGCCCUGAGCCAAGGGCUAAAGGCCCUGGCGACUAAUCACCAGCAGCUCUUUGCAAAUGGGCGGACCUGGGGCAGCUUCACCGUGCUGGACAAUUCGGCGUGGUACCAGGAGCAGGACCUGGUGGACUUCCUAGCGGCAGUGGGUGGCCACUUCCGCAUGGGAACGCUGCUGAGCAGGCUGAGUGUGCAGGCUAGGCUCAGGAGCCCCGAAGGCAUGAGUUUAGCCGAGUUUUUAUACCAGGUGCUCCAGGCCUAUGAUUUCUACUACCUGUUCCAGCAUUACGGAUGCCGGGUCCAGCUGGGUGGAUCAGAUCAGCUGGGCAAUAUCAUGUCUGGAUACGAGUUCAUCCACAAGUUGACUGGAGAAGAUGUGUUUGGAAUCUCUGUUCCUCUAAUUACAAGUACAACUGGAGCGAAACUAGGCAAGUCUGCUGGCAAUGCUGUUUGGCUAAACAGAGAUAAGACAUCUCCAUUUGAAUUGUAUCAGUUUUUUCUCAGGCAACAAGAUGAUUUGGUAGAAAGAUACCUGAAGCUCUUCACUUUUCUGCCUCUUCCAGAGAUUGACCACAUCAUGCAGCUGCAUGUCACAGAGCCAGAAAAGCGGGGUCCUCAGAAGCGACUUGCUGCGGAAGUAACAAAGCUUGUUCAUGGACAAGAAGGGCUGGCCUCUGCUAAAAGGUGUACACAAGCCCUUUAUCACAGCAGCAUAGAUGCGCUGGAAGUCAUGUCUGAUCAAGAGUUAAAAGAACUGUUUAAAGAGGCUUCAUUUUCUGAAUUAGUUCUUGACCCUGGAACAAGCGUCCUAGAUACAUGCCGCAAAGCAAAUGCCAUUCCAGAUGGUCCCCGAGGGUAUCGGAUGAUUACAGAAGGUGGAGUCAGUAUAAAUCAUAAACAAGUAACAAAUCCUGAGAGUGUUUUAGUUGUUGGACAACAUAUUCUUAAAAAUGGACUUUCAUUACUUAAAAUAGGAAAAAGGAACUUCUACAUUAUAAAAUGGCUUCAGCUAUGAUGAAAAUCCUUCUGGUGUUCAAACAUCAUCAUUCAUUAUCAAGAUAUACAAACUUAUAUCUUCACUUAUGCAACUCAAAACAAAGAAUGGAGUAUAUUCUAGGCCUCUGAGCCAGCUAGAUAUUAACAAUAAGAAGAAUGUAUCUGAUUCACUCAGUGAUGAAUAUGCUUUCCUUCAAAAGAAAUAACCAUCUCUGGCUAAUAGAAAUGGAACAAAGUAUCUUGUCCAGAUUUUAAACAGGCAACCGUUUACGAAGAAGACAAGUCACUACUUCAACUAUGGCAUCAUGAAGUUUAGGGAACCGCAACAACUCCUAUAUAU